rnacentral:rRNA from 1 species
GGACUACUGGGGUUUCUAAUCCUGUUUGCUACCCACGCUUUCGCUCCUCAGCGUCAGUUUCGGCCCAGAGUGGCGCCUUCGCCACCGGUGUUCCUCCUAAUAUCUGCGCAUUUCACCGCUACACUAGGAAUUCCCCACUCCCCUACCGAACUCAAGUCACAGCAGUAUCAAGUGCACGCUUUGGGUUAAGCCCAAAGAUUUCACACCUGACUUACUGAACCGCCUACGAGCUCUUUACGCCCAAUAAAUCCGGACAACGCUUGGUGCCUACGUGUUACCGCGGCUGCUGGCAC